AGUUACCCUUCGGCACAGGGAGCCUCCAGCUCAACCUCUCCGUCCCUCGCAUGCCACUCUAUGCACCCGAAUAUGCAGGCAUUGGAAUAUAACAGCUACAUAAUGGAGUGGAUGGCUGAUUGUUUCCUGAGUCAACUGAAAACCAGCCGCUCGGAAAAAAAAAAAAAAUUUGACCUUCCCAAAAUGGCCGCUGCUCCUCCCCCUUCCACCUCCAUGAGGGUCACACAAAAUGGUGGACAGACCAUGCGGCCUCUUGUCACAAAGAAAGUCAUCAUUCAAAACUCCUAAAGUUAUUCUAGGCCUGAGUGUGUAGUUGGCACCAAAUUGAAAUAAAAACCAGAU